AGAGUUUGAUCAUGGCUCAGAUUGAACGCCGGCGGUAUGCUUAACACACGCAAGUCGAACGGUAACAGUCCCUCACCUAGAAAUUUCUUAAAAAGAGAUUUGUAGGUGAGGGAGCUGACGAGUGGCGGACGGGUGCGUAAUGUAUAGGAAUCUGCCUGGUAGUGGGGGACAACUCGGAGAAAUUCGAGCUAAUACCGCAUAAGCCCUCCGGGGGAAAACGGGGGAUCUUCGGACCUCGUGCUAUUAGAUGAGCCUAUAUUAGAUUAGCUUGUCGGUGAGGUAAUGGCUUACCAAGGCGACGAUCUAUAGCUGGUCUGAGAGGAUGAUCAGCCACACUGGGACUGAGACACGGCCCAGACUCCUACGGGAGGCAGCAGUGGGGAAUAUUGGACAAUGGGCGAAAGCCUGAUCCAGCAAUACCGCGUGUGUGAAGAAGGCCUGAGGGUUGUAAAGCACUUUCAAUUGGGAGGAAUACCUAAUAGUUAAUAGCUAUUAGAUUGACA
rnacentral:rRNA from 1 species